AACGUCUCAGUUCGGAUUGUAGUCUGCAACUCGACUACAUGAAGCUGGAAUCGCUAGUAAUCGCGAAUCAGAAUGUCGCGGUGAAUACGUUCCCGGGUCUUGUACACACCGCCCGUCACACCAUGGGAGUUGGGAAUGCCCGAAGCCGGUGACCUAACCGAAAGGGAGGAGCCGUCGAAGGCAGGCUUGAUAACUGGGGUGAAGUCGUAACAAGGUAGC
rnacentral:rRNA from 1 species